rnacentral:rRNA from 1 species
AGAUGGACUCGCGUCGCAUUAGCUAGUUGGUGAGGUAACGGCCCACCAAGGCGACGAUGCGUAGCCGACCUGAGAGGGUGAUCGGCCACAUUGGGACUGAGAUACGGCCCAGACUCCUACGGGAGGCAGCAGUGGGGAAUAUUGGGCAAUGGAGGAAACUCUGACCCAGCAAUGCCGCGUGAAUGAAGAAGGUCUUCGGAUUGUAAAGUUCUUUAGUCAGGGAAGAAGUCAAUGACGGUACCUGAAGAAUAAGCUCCGGCUAACUACGUGCCAGCAGCCGCGGUAAUACGUAGGGAGCAAGCGUUGUUCGGAAUGACUGGGCGUAAAGGGUGCGUAGGCGGUUGUACAAGUUAGAAGUGAAAUACCCAGGGCUUAACUCGGGUGCUGCUUCUAAAACUGUAUGACUUGAGUGCAGUAGAGGUUAGUGGAAUUCCUAGUGUAGCGGUGGAAUGCGUAGAUAUUAGGAGGAACACCAGUGGCGAAGGCGGUCUGCUGGACAGCAACUGACGCUGAGGCGCGAAAGCGUGGGGAGCAAACAGGAUUAGAUACCCUGGUAGUCCACGCUGUAAACGAUGGAUACUAGGUGUGGGGGGACUGACCCCCUCCGUGCCGCAGUUAACACAAUAAGUAUCCCACCUGGGGAGUACGAUCGCAAGGUUGAAAC